CCUACGGGUGGCAGCAGUAGGGAAUAUUGCUCAAUGGGGGAAACUCUGAAGCAGCAACGCCGCGUGGAGGAUGAAGGUUUUCGGAUUGUAAACUUCUUUUGUUAGAGAAGAAAAUGACGGUAUCUAACGAAUAAGCACCGGCUAAUGCCGUGCCAGCAGCCGCGGUAAUACGGAGUGUGAAAGCGUUACCCGGAAUCACUGGGCGUAAAGAGCGCGGAGGCGGGAUAGCAAGUCAGAUGUGAAAUCCUAUGGCUUAACCAUAGAAGUGCAUUUGAAACUGUUAUUCUAGAGUACGGGAGAGGUAGGUGGAAUUCUUGGUGUAGGGGUAAAAUGCGUAGAUAUCAAGAGGAAUACUCGUUGCGAAGGCGGCCUGCUAGAACAUAACUGACGCUGAUGCGCGAAAGCGUGGGGAGCAAACAGGAUUAGAUACCCUUGUAGUC
rnacentral:rRNA from 1 species